AUGCAAGUCGAACGAAUAAACUUUCCUUCGGGAAAGAUAUAAAGUGGCGCACGGGUGAGUAACACGUAAGUAAUCUACCUUCGGAUGGGGAAUAACAGUCGGAAACGACUGCUAAUACCGCAUAAUGCAGCGGCACCUAAUGGUGACAGUUGUUAAAGUAUUUAUACGUCUGGAGAGGAGCUUGCGGCAGAUUAGCUAGUUGGUAAGGUAAUGGCUUACCAAGGCUACGAUCUGUAGCCGACCUGAGAGGGUGGUCGGUCACACUGACACUGAAUAACGGGUCAGACUCCUACGGGGAGGCAGCAGUCGGGGAAUUUUUGGGCAAUGGGGCGAAAAGCCU
rnacentral:rRNA from 1 species